UUUCCGUAGGUGAACCUGCGGAAGGAUCAUUACAGAGUUCAUGCCCUCACGGGUAGAUCUCCCACCCUUGAAUAUUUAUACCUUAGUUGCUUUGGCAGGCCGUGGAAACACCAUGGGCUCCGGCUUAUGCGUGCCUGCCAGAGGAAACAAACUCUGUUUUUAGUGAUGUCUGAGUACUCUAUAAUAGUUAAAACUUUCAACAACGGAUCUCUUGGUUCUG
rnacentral:misc_RNA from 1 species